rnacentral:ncRNA from 2 species
UCGACGGGUCGCGACUGGCGUUCAGAUGGUCGACCAUCGGGGAGCGACGCACACACGGUACGUGGCCGUACGCCUGGGCCACCACG